rnacentral:rRNA from 1 species
GCCAAGGGAGGGUCAGCAGCGGGGGUAAGCGGAAGGGGCGGAGGGGUGUCCGGAUGUAUUGGGCGGAAGGAGCGCGUAGGCGGCUUGUGGCGUGGACUGGGAAAACCCACAGGGCAACGGUGGGCGUGCAGGCGAUACGGGCAGGCUAGAGUUCGGUAGGGGAGACUGGAAUUCCUGGUGUAGCGGUGGAAUGCGCAGAUAUCAGGAGGAACACCGGUGGCGAAGGCGGGUCUCUGGGCCGAUACUGACGCUGAGGAGCGAAAGCGUGGGGAGCGAACAGGAUUAGAUACCCCGGUAGUC